AGCAUAUUCGUUGGUUAGGGGAAUGUUAAGAUAUUUUCUCGCAGUGGAAGGAGGCCGGACGUCUCUUUCCACACCAAGCAGUCCUCCCUUCGACGGAAUCUCUGGCAAGGUGGGGGAAGAGAGAAAGAGAGAGAGGGCGAGGGAGAAAGGGGGAGAGAAGGAAAAAAAGGCUGGGGGCAAUGGGCGCGAUAAAGGCAGCCGUGGGCGAUGCCGUGAUCACGUUCCUGUGGGUGUUCUGCGUCUCCAGUGUGGGUGCCCUGACCACCGUCAUCGCGUCGGCCCUCCAGGUCCAGGGCGCCGCCUACUCCCUCGUCAUCACUACCACCCUCAUCUUCCUCCUUCUGUUCGUCUUCAGUCCGAUCUGCGACGCCAUCGGCGGGGCCAGCUUUAACCCUACCGGGACGGCCGCCUUCUACGCCGCCGGUUUUGGGGGGGACAACCUUGUCUCCAUGGCUCUCCGCUUCCCAGCCCAGGCGGCCGGGGCGGUGGGUGGUGCGUUGGCUAUCGCAGAAUUGAUGCCUCGUCCGUACAAGCACAUGCUGGGCGGCCCUUCAUUGAAAGUGGACUUGCACACAGGGGCAGCCGCGGAAGGGGUCCUGACCUUUUGCAUUACCUUGGCUGUCCUCUGGAUAGUUAUCAAGGGUCCCAGCAGCGCAUUCGUGAAGACGUGGUUGCUUGCUGUGACGACUGUGACGUUCGUGCUUGCAGGUGCUGGUUAUACAGGGCCAUCGAUGAACCCUGCCAACGACCUUUUUUCACAUGGUAUCAGAGCCGGCCAACCCUAGCCGUGCUCCACCAUAGUCGCCAGCCACUCUCAAAAAACGUCCUGCCGUUGCUGACAAGCCUUGAAAGAGGCUCCCUUACCAUCGGCCGGCCACUGUCCAGCCUCUAUUGAUUCUUAUUCUGCUACUGAUCAUCUCCGAUCUGUUUUUUCUGUUGCAAUCAGAUCUUGGUUCAGCAAUAUUUCUUGAUCUAAGAUGGUGAAGACAGUGAUGACGAGAUCAAUCAGAGACAAAGGAGACUCCAUAUUCGGAGCCAUUACAGAGAGUAAUACUGUCACCAGCAUACCUUUCGGGGUAGAUUAUUCUGUUGGAUCUGCUCUUUCACUUAUCAUUCACACAUAACUGAAUGGUACAAAUUAUUUAGAAUGGUCACAAUCGGUCAAGUUGGCCGUGAAAGGUUGGGCCAAGUUUGGAUAUCUGAUGGGUAGUGUCAAAGAGUCCAUUGAAACUGAUCUCAAUUUUCAGAUUUGGACGACGGAGAACGUAGUGGUUAUGGCAUGGCUCAAUUCCAUGGAGCCGACCAUUCCAAAGAUCUAUCUAUUUUUCUCAACAGCGAACGAAAUCUGGGAUGCUGUUACGGAGAUAUUCUGAUCGAAAAAAUUAUUCCUAAAUUUUCGAGUUGAAGUUCAAGCUAUGGCGAUCGACGCAGGGAGAUCGAGAUGUUACCACCUACUACAAUGAGAUGGUAACACUGGCAGGAGUUGGACCUAUAUCGCACAGUUCAGUUAAAGGAUCUCGAGAAAUGUGCAAGGCACAAAAAAGAUGAAAAUACUGAUAGGGUGUAUAUGUUCUUGACUGGUGUGAACUAGAAAUUUGAUGAGGCAAAGGGGAGAAUCUUGAGUCAGAAGUCAUUAUCCUCUAUUAGGGAGGUGUUCUCUGAGAUUCGACUAGAAGAGAGUCGGAGGAAGGUUAUGCUUCAUUCAUCCUCAUCUCGUGUUACUCCUAGAGCUGAAAGUUCAGUCCUUGCAAUUCAAAAAUCGGAGGCAGAAGGAGAAAAGAAAAAGCAGUCAUGGUGUGACCAUUGCAGGAAGUCGGGACAUACUCGGGAGAUUUGUUGGCACCUUCACGGCAAGCCUCCUAACCAAAAGAAGCCCAAUGGGAGAGCUUCAAGCUACCACUGAUAAUACUCAGGAGAAAUCAGUCGAAUCUGACUUGGCUAACUGUAUCGGUUGUUUAAAUCUUCAUAAUUCUCCAUCAAUGGGAGAGCAACUGUAUCGGUUGUUUAAAUUUUUAUAAUUCUCCACCACUCCUUAUUCUCUAGCCCACCAAGGAUCUAGCAACGGAGAGGAUGAUUGGUAUUGCUAGAAAAAGAGGACUUUAUUUCUUUGAAGAUGGAUCACAAUCUAGUAAACUUGUUCAGGAUAUCUGUUUAGAGUUUGUUUUUUUUUUACUGAUCAUGCAAUAAUAUUGUGGCACUAUAGGUUAGGUUAUCUGAGUUUUCACUAUUUAAAAUAUUUGUAUCCAAAUUUAUUUUUGAAAAAAGAUCCAUCUUCAUUUCAAUGUGAAAUUUGCACUUUGGCAAAAUUACAUAGGGCUAUUUUUUCCUCACAACCAUAUAGGCCAACACAAUCUUUUUUAUUAGUUCACAAUGAUGUGUGGGGACCCUCAAGGAUUCCUACAGUUUCAAGAAAAAAAAUGGUUUGUGUCUUUCAUUGAUGAUCAUACUAAAAAUAGUUGGAUGUACCUAUUUAAGAAAAAAAUUUGAAGUUACUAAAAUUUUUAAAAAUUUUUACUCUAUGGUUCAUACCCAAUUUAAUAAAAAAAUUCAGAUUUUUCGAACUGAUAAUGGCAGAAAAUUUUUUAAUUCAACUUUAGGGCAAGUUUUCUUGAAAAAAGAUAUUGUUUACCAAAGUUCUUGUACUAAUACUCCACCAAAUAGGAUUGUGAAAAAAAAAUUAUAUAUCUUUUGAAAAUUGCUAGAGCCCUUCUUUUUGUAACUAAUGUUUCUAACUAUCUUUGGGGUGAAGCAAUUCUUACAGCCCCGCAUCUCAUUAAUCGCAUGUCCUCAAAGAUUUUGAAUUUUAAAACUACCUUGUAUGUUUUCACAAAAAAAUUUUCUACCUCUCGAAUACCCUCUGGUCUGCCUAUUUGACUGUUUGGUUGCAUGGUUUAUGUUCAUAAUCAUGAUCAAAAUUGUGAAAAACUUGAUCCGAGGGUCAUCAAGUGUGUAUUUGUGAGAUAUGUACCUAACCAAAAAGGAUAUAAGUGCUAUGAUCCCAUUUCAAAAAAAAAAAUUUAUAACAAUGGGUGUCUCUUUUUUUGAACAAACUCCAUAUUUUGACUCUCAUCUUCAGGGAGAAAGAGAAAGAAGAUGUGAAAAAUUCUAGCAUAUUUGAAAAUGAAUUUAUUUUUUUCUUUGUUCCCCAUUACGUGGAUGUCCCUAUAUUUGCAUCCGAGAAUAAAAUUGUUGCUGGAAAUGAAAAUCCAAAUCAACAAAAUGAUGCUGAUAGUGAAAAUUUUGCAAUAAAUAUUGAUAAAAAUUCUUCAAAUAUUUUAAAUAAUGAAGAACUUGAAGGUUCACCUGUGGUCCUACUGCAAAUUUAUGAUCAAAAUGAAAGAGAAGUAAACAUAGAUAGGCAUUUUGGAAAAGUUUACUCUAGAAAGGAUGUUCUUCAAGGAAAGUAGUCCGAGGCUUCUCUUCAUAGAAAGGAUGUCCUCUAAUUUUGCAACAAACGGCCGACUUACCAAAGGAUUGUCCUCUAAUUUUUUUCAAUUUUGUCAUUGGCAAGUUGGACUUGAUUUUUACGUGCCAACUUGAGGGGAAGUAUUGAAAAAUUAUUAGAAUCCCACGAAUCUCAAGUAAAUCUGACAGAAUAAGACAAAAAUCAUAAUGAUAUCAUAAAAUCAAGCCAAAGAAGAAUAGAAUCAAGUCAAGAUCUCGACAAUCAAAGAUCAACUAUGAUCUCAGCAAAUAAGAAAAUUUAAAUAAAAAAAUCUAUCAAAAAAAUUUGUUACAACUAGCAGUACUAUCUUUGAAUAUUUUUUUCAUGAUUUUUCACCUUUUAUUGUAUAGUUGUUUACUAUUUUUGUAUAGCCAUACUUAUUUUUUUUUAUAGCUCAUUGUAUUUAAAUUUUGACCCAUACAUUGUAUCUAUUCAUAGCAUCUAUGUCCUCUGCAUUUAUCAUGCCAUUCUCUUAUCCUAUACAAGCAAAAAAAAAAAAAAAAAGGGCUGCAAAGACUCCCCAUUGUAUGAUAUUAUACCAAUGAAACAAAACUUUGCAGUUAAAGAAUGAUUGGAUGGCUGUUUGUAAAUAUUGCCUGCAACUUUCUUUGUGUGGUGAAUUGGCACAUCAUGAUAAGGUGGACUUCACAAUGGCCUUAUAAACAGACUCAUCAGAUGCCAUCAGAAGCCUAUUGUGCGAUGAAUGACAUAUCUACCAUAUAUCGUGCUAUGAACUUACUGGAGAAGGAAUUUUAUGGAAGAUAUAUUAUUAGUCCUUUAUUUUUUUUGAAACCUUUUAUUUUUUUAUUUUUUAUUUUCUGUGAUUGAACUAUUCUGGUACAAAUCCAGAGGAGUUCAGUAGGACAAUUGGGUUGUUUAUAAUAGCAAUGCCAUCGCGGUGUCUGCUGACUCUUGUGGGCUGUGGCAAGCAUCAUAGCUGAUAUAUCUUAGCACACUUUCAAUUUUUUU